GUAGGUGGCAAGCGUUGUCCGGAAUUAUUGGGCGUAAAGCGCGCACAGGCGGUUCUUUAAGUCUGAUGUGAAAGCCCACGGCUCAACCGUGGAGGGUCAUUGGAAACUGGAGAACUUGAGUACAGAAGAGGAAAGCGGAAUUCCACGUGUAGCGGUGAAAUGCGUAGAGAUGUGGAGGAACACCAGUGGCGAAGGCGGCUUUCUGGUCUGUAACUGACGCUGAGGCGCGAAAGCGUGGGGAGCAAACAGGAUUAGAUACCCUGGUAGUCCACGCCGUAAACGAUGAGUGCUAAGUGUUAGGGGGGUUUCCGCCCCCCUUAGUGCUGCAGCUAACGCAUUAAGCACUCCGCCUGGGAUACGGCCGCAAGGCUG
rnacentral:rRNA from 1 species